AUCACGUGUGAGGAGCGCAAACCUGCGUUCCUAUUGGUCCAGAACGGGAAAGGGGCCCCAGUCUUUCCCUUCAUUUCACCGGAACGCUGUCGGACAUUGUUGUUGUCAUGAAACAGAAUCAUAGUGUAUGUUUUCUCCAAAGAAUAACGAGCCGGCGAAUAUCGUUGGAAUUCAAUCCGCAUUGUCUCUAAAUCGACUUCCGAGAUAUGUCUGUGAAACGGGUGAUAUAUGUAAUGAAUGGGGAAGUGGCGAGGCGUUACUUUACUUUAACAAGUUAACCGUAAUCUGGUUACGGGGUUGUCUGAGGUAAGGACAGUGGUUGAGGUGUUUUGUUAGGUGCCUGAAUAUAUAGAGAUUUUUUUUCUCUCUUUAUAACAGUCAGCUUGAUCGUAAGGAAACUGGCACCGUGUGAUCAGAUGUACACGGACAUGUUGGGGAAUAACGAUCUGUACUCACACAAGUAGGACCUAAUAUUUGUUUUCAAUGUGGAAUUCUAUUUUUGCUUGUUGAGUAUUCAGAUAACCUAUUUGAUCGUAUUUAGGCGAACAUAUUAGGUCAUCAAAAUAUCUUCCAACAACAAUUUGACUAUAAUUAGAAUAGAUAUAUUUUUCAGAAAAUAACCUAAUAUUCUCGAAACAAUCAUGUCAGACUAUACACAGAGGUCUCUGCCUUUUUGUCAGCGGCUGAGUUACGCUGUGGGACACUUUCUGAACGAUCUGUGUGCGUCUAUGUGGUUCACCUACCUGUUGGUGUACUACCACUCCGUGCUGGGCUUUCAGAACACCUAUGCAGGUGUGUUACUGCUGGUGGGGCAGAUAGCGGACGGGGUCUGCACACCCCUUAUCGGCUACGAGUCGGACCAGACGCCGGGGUGUGGGACAUACGGCAAGAGGAAGACAUGGCAUUUAGUGGGUACGGUCAGUGUGCUGAUGUCCUUUGCGUUCAUCUUUAAUCAGUGUCUGGGGUGUGACCAGUACACCCCUCAGUGGGUCAGCCUGACGUACUUCAUCCCAUUCAUCAUCAUCUUCCAGUUCGGCUGGGCUGCCACGCAGAUCUCACACCUGUCACUCAUCCCUGAGCUGGUGUCCUGCGAACACGCCAAGGUGGAGCUCACUGCUUACAGGUAUGCGUUUACAGUGAUGGCCAAUAUAACAGUGUACGCUGUGGCCUAUCUGCUGUUCCACUUCCAGACCGGAUCAGACGAGGACCCCUCUCUCACCGAGACCCUGGGUCCCAUAGAUAUCCCUAUAUUCAGGAACCUGAGCCUCAUCGUGCUGGGUAUCGGUGCUCUUUCCUCUGUCCUCUUUCACCUGGGCACACGGGAAGAGAAGAGAGAAGAGGAGGAUGAUGAAGGAGAAGAGAAAGGAGAGCGCCGGCCCCUUAUCCCUCGCCCUCAGGCUGCCGCCCCUGUCCAGUCGCUGCUGAGGUGGAAAUGCUGGCUGAAACAGCCUUCCUUUUACCAGGUAGCGUUUCUCUACAUGUCCACCAGACUGAUAGUGAACGUGUCUCAGACGUACAUCUCCAUGUAUCUUACCAACACUCUCAUGUUGCCAAAGAAAUACAUUGCCACUAUUCCCCUGGUGAUGUACGUCAGUGGCUUCGCUUCCUCUUUCAUCAUGAAGCCUAUCAGCAAACUCAUCGGCAAAUGUAUGACCUACUUUGUGGGCCUGCUGCUGAUCAUGGCCUUCUCUUAUUGGGUGUUGAUAGACGACCAGAUGGGUGACCGGAUCUACGGGGCGUCCGUCCUUCUAGGGGUGGGGUCAGCUACCAUCCUGGUGAUGUCACUCUCCAUGACCGCUGACCUCAUCGGGGACCAGACGCAAAGUGGAGCGUUUGUUUAUGGGUCGAUGAGCUUCACUGACAAGGUGGCCAACGGAGUAGCUGUUAUGAUGAUACAGACUCUACACCCCUGCCAUUCUCAGGUCUGCUGUCCAGCGUGUGUGUGGUACUACCACUAUGUCAUGGUCAUAGCAACAGGGGGCGUGGCCGUCAUAGCAGCUCUCAGUCUCUGUACCAUCCUUGUCUGGCCUAUCAGGAUCGUCCGCCAGACCGACGUGAAGAACAUAGACAAUUCUAACUACGAUUGGGUGGUUUCAGUGGGGCGGGGCCAGGACUCUGGCAAGAAGAACCAACACAAGGAGAACAUAGACAACCCUAACUACACUCAGGAAGCGGGGCAGGGUCUGCCUUACAUCUCAGGUCUGAUGGGCAGCGAGGAUCAGGACAUCUCCGAGGACAACUCUUACCAGCCUAGACCAACGGUCAACUAAGGAACUACGGUUGGCAGAGUUACCUGGACCCUACUGUAGUAGAGACCAGCCAGUCCCACUUAUCCCUGGGUGAAUAACCACUGCAGAACCCAGCCUGUCUCUUCAGGGAUUAUAGUUUAACUCUGUGGCCUCUCCAGGACUCACUCAGGCAUCUUAAAACUCUCAACUGGAACAACAAACAUUUUAGACUGAAAAGUCAUCUCACCGUAGUGUUCACAAACAGCCAACUGGACUAGCAGUAGUUCCUCUGAAAGAAUCAAGACUUUCCUUCUGGACCUGACCAGUAGCUGUGCUGUACUGCAGGGGAGUUGGGUUGAAGAGCAGCCAUCAGGACCCAUUUCUACUAUAGAUCAAUACGUUGCUUUGCUGUCGCAGAGUAUCGGUCAAUUCAGUGUACAACAUUACUGUCAACAUGAGGGAGGUUAUACAGUAACACAGUCCAUUGUCUCUCUCUCAAUCAGCACCUUCUCACAGUCAUACUGCAGUUGAUUCAGUGGGCUGAUUCAGUUGGUUGAUUCAAUUAUGUGGAUUCAGUUGGCUGAUUCAGUUGGUUGAUUCAGUUCAACAGUGCCGAAAUGAUUGAGUACAUAUCUACACUGACACACUCGGGUCCAGAAUACGUACAUACCCCUCUUGAGAAAAGUCCUAUAAUACACUAUUAUACCAUCUGUUGUGAAUGUCCAAAAACAAUACAUUAUUGAACUUAAUUGACACACUAUUUAUGCUGAUUACAGCCCACUGGGCAUACACUGGUUGAAUCAGCGUUGUUUCCACGUCAUUUCAAUGAAAUGACUUUGAACCAACAUGGAAUAGAUGUUGAAUGGCCGUCUGCCCAGUGGGAGGUGACAUGUCAUCAGAACAGCUUUUGUUUUGAACCAACAUGGAAUAGAUGUUGAAUGGCCGUCUGCCCAGUGGGAGGUGACAUGUCAUCAGAACAGCUUUUGUUUUGAACCAACAUGGAAUAGAUGUUGAAUGGCCGUCUGCCCAGUGGGAGGUGACAUGUCAUCAGAACAGCUUUUGUUUUGAACCAACAUGGAAUAGAUGUUGAAUGGCCGUCUGCCCAGUGGGAGGUGACAUGUCAUCAGAACAGCUUUUGUUUUGAACCAACAUGGAAUGGAUGUUGAAUGGCCGUCUGCCCAGUGGGAGGUGACAUGUCAUCAGAACAGCUUUUGUUUUGAACCAACAUGGAAUAGAUGUUGAAUGGCCGUCUGCCCAGUGGGAGGUGACAUGUCAUCAGAACAGCUUUUGUUUUGAACCAACAUGGAAUGGAUGUUGAAUGGCCGUCUGCCCAGUGGGAGGUGACAUGUCAUCAGAACAGCUUUUGUUUUGAACCAACAUGGAAUGGAUGUUGAAUGGCCGUCUGCCCAGUGGGAGGUGACAUGUCAUCAGAACAGCUUUUGUUUUGAACCAACAUGGAAUGGAUGUUGAAUGGCCGUCUGCCCAGUGGGAGGUGACAUGUCAUCAGAACAGCUUUUGUUUUGAACCAACAUGGAAUAGAUGUUGAAUGGCCGUCUGCCCAGUGGGAGGUGACAUGUCAUCAGAACAGCUUUUGUUUUGAACCAACAUGGAAUAGAUGUUGAAUGGCCGUCUGCCCAGUGGGAGGUGACAUGUCAUCAGAACAGCUUUUGUUUUGAACCAACAUGGAAUAGAUGUUAAAUGGCCGUCUGCCCAGUGGGAGGUGACAUGUCAUCAGAACAGCUUUUGUUUUGAACCAACAUGGAAUAGAUGUUGAAUGGCCGUCUGCCCAGUGGGAGGUGACAUGUCAUCAGAACAGCUUUUGUUUUGAACCAACAUGGAAUAGAUGUUGAAUGGCCGUCUGCCCAGUGGGAGGUGACAUGUCAUCAGAACAGCUUUUGUUUUGAACCAACAUGGAAUAGAUGUUGAAUGGCCGUCUGCCCAGUGGGAGGUGACAUGUCAUCAGAACAGCUUUUGUUUUGAACCAACAUGGAAUGGAUGUUGAAUGGCCGUCUGCCCAGUGGGAGGUGACAUGUCAUCAGAACAGCUUUUGUUUUGAACCAACAUGGAAUAGAUGUUGAAUGGCCGUCUGCCCAGUGGGAGGUGACAUGUCAUCAGAACAGCUUUUGUUUUGAACCAACAUGGAAUGGAUGUUGAAUGGCCGUCUGCCCAGUGGGAGGUGACAUGUCAUCAGAACAGCUUUUGUUUUGAACCAACAUGGAAUAGAUGUUGAAUGGCCGUCUGCCCAGUGGGAGGUGACAUGUCAUCAGAACAGCUUUUGUUUUGAGGUAAGUUGUCAAUGUAACUAUUGUGUGUUUUAUUCCAGUGUUGGGAACAUUUAAUUCCAGUGUGGUAGUCAUUGUGUUGUAGUAAUAAUAUGACGUUGUGUUGCUUUAAACUACAUCAUGUUGUGUGUUUUGAUGACAUGUUCUUAUGUAAAUUGCGUUGCAAGUAAAAUAAGGAUUUGUGGGGGCAUUUAUUAAAUUAAAACGAAUCAGGAUUGUGAAAAGGGAUACCUUGCAAUAUGGAUAAACCGAGUGGAAUAAAUACUGAGCAACAAUAUAAACGCAACCAUUUUACUGAGUUACUGGUCCUAUGACUUCGUUAGGGCUUAAUCUAUGGAUUUCACAUGACUGCGUAGGGGCACAGCCGUGGGCGGUCCUUGGCCAAGGAGAAAUGCUCACUAACAGGGAUGUAAAACACAAUGUGCUCAAAAUUAGAUAGAAAUCAUAUUUUUGUACGUAUGGAACAUUUCUGGGAUCUUCUUUUUUUCAGCUCAUGAAACAUGGGACCAACUCUUUACAUGUUGCGGUUAUAUUUUUGUUCAGUAUAUAUGAAUAGUAGAAUAUAUUUCCUGGGUGAUAUUCAGGUUACUGGACAGACAGAGAUGAUUCUACGUCUCAAACAAUAGAACUAGAAUCAUUAGAGUAGAAUCAUUCUAAUUCUACGGGGGAAACAUUUUGCACAGGGUGACUAGGAAACUGCCUUAUAGGAAAACAUUUGAUCUCUCUCAAAUUGUUUUGUAUUCAUUGCUUUUUAUUUCCAAUAUAUUGUGAAGUGACUUUUUCCCCCCUACUGUUCAUGUCUGUUUUUUGCUCAUUCUUUGGGAAGUAUAUUAAACAUAUUUCAUACUACUGUCA